GGUUGAAGGUUGGGUAACACUAACUGGAGGACCGAACCGACUAAUGUUGAAAAAUUAGCGGAUGACCUGUGGCUGGGGGUGAAAGGCCAAUCAAACCGGGAGAUAGCUGGUUCUCCCCGAAAGCUAUUUAGGUAGCGCCUCGUGAAUUCAUCUCCGGGGGUAGAGCACUGUUUCGGCUAGGGGGCCAUCCCGGCUUACCAACCCGAUGCAAACUGCGAAUACCGGAGAAUGUUAUCACGGGAGACACACGGCGGGUGCUAACGUCCGUCGUGAAGAGGGAAACAACCCAGACCGCCAGCUAAGGUCCCAAAGUCAUGGUUAAGUGGGAAACGAUGUGGGAAGGCCCAGACAGCCAGGAUGUUGGCUUAGAAGCAGCCAUCAUUUAAAGAAAGCGUAAUAGCUCACUGGUCGAGUCGGCCUGCGCGGAAGAUGUAACGGGGCUAAACCAUGCACCGAAGCUGCGGCAGCGAACGUAUCACCCAAGACAACUUUGCGGAGUUGACGAUUGACGGAGCGAAGCGACGUCAAAGCGUUCAUUAAAGUCGAGUUGGCUUAGGGAUACGUUCGUUGGGUAGGGGAGCGUUCUGUAAGCCUGUGAAGGUGGCCUGUGAGGGUUGCUGGAGGUAUCAGAAGUGCGAAUGCUGACAUAAGUAACGAUAAAGCGGGUGAAAAGCCCGCUCGCCGGAAGACCAAGGGUUCCUGUCCAACGUUAAUCGGGGCAGGGUGAGUCGACCCCUAAGGCGAGGCCGAAAGGCGUAGUCGAUGGGAAACGGGUUAAUAUUCCCGUACUUGGUGUUACUGCGAAGGGGGGACGGAGAAGGCUAUGUUGGCCGGGCGACGGUUGUCCCGGUUUAAGCGUGUAGGUGUGUGUUCCAGGUAAAUCCGGUUCACUUUAACACUGAGGCGUGAUGACGAGGCACUACGGUGCUGAAGCAACAAAUGCCCUGCUUCCAGGAAAAGCCUCUAAGCAUCAGGUAACACGAAAUCGUACCCCAAACCGACACAGGUGGUCAGGUAGAGAAUACCAAGGCGCUUGAGAGAACUCGGGUGAAGGAACUAGGCAAAAUGGUGCCGUAACUUCGGGAGAAGGCACGCUGACACGUAGGUGAAGUGAUUUACUCAUGGAGCUGAAGUCAGUCGAAGAUACCAGCUGGCUGCAACUGUUUAUUAAAAACACAGCACUGUGCAAACACGAAAGUGGACGUAUACGGUGUGACGCCUGCCCGGUGCCGGAAGGUUAAUUGAUGGGGUCAGCGCAAGCGAAGCUCCUGAUCGAAGCCCCGGUAAACGGCGGCCGUAACUAUAACGGUCCUAAGGUAGCGAAAUUCCUUGUCGGGUAAGUUCCGACCUGCACGAAUGGCGUAAUGAUGGCCAGGCUGUCUCCACCCGAGACUCAGUGAAAUUGAACUCGCUGUGAAGAUGCAGUGUACCCGCGGCAAGACGGAAAGACCCCGUGAACCUUUACUAUAGCUUGACACUGAACAUUGAGCCUUGAUGUGUAGGAUAGGUGGGAGGCUUUGAAGUGUGGACGCCAGUCUGCAUGGAGCCGACCUUGAAAUACCACCCUUUAAUGUUUGAUGUUCUAACGUGGACCCGUAAUCCGGGUUGCGGACAGUGUCUGGUGGGUAGUUUGACUGGGGCGGUCUCCUCCUAAAGAGUAACGGAGGAGCACGAAGGUUGGCUAAUCCUGGUCGGACAUCAGGAGGUUAGUGCAAUGGCAUAAGCCAGCUUGACUGCGAGCGUGACGGCGCGAGCAGGUGCGAAAGCAGGUCAUAGUGAUCCGGUGGUUCUGAAUGGAAGGGCCAUCGCUCAACGGAUAAAAGGUACUCCGGGGAUAACAGGCUGAUACCGCCCAAGAGUUCAUAUCGACGGCGGUGUUUGGCACCUCGAUGUCGGCUCAUCACAUCCUGGGGCUGAAGUAGGUCCCAAGGGUAUGGCUGUUCGCCAUUUAAAGUGGUACGCGAGCUGGGUUUAGAACGUCGUGAGACAGUUCGGUCCCUAUCUGCCGUGGGCGCUGGAGAACUGAGGGGGGCUGCUCCUAGUACGAGAGGACCGGAGUGGACGCAUCACUGGUGUUCGGGUUGUCAUGCCAAUGGCACUGCCCGGUAGCUAAAUGCGGAAGAGAUAAGUGCUG
rnacentral:rRNA from 1 species